GGCGACGGCGGCGCGGCAGCGACCAGGCCGCAGAGCGUGUGUGGAGAACAGCUGACCACCUGUCUCAUUGUCACUGGAGGUCUCCAAAAACAUUCUGGUUUUUAUUCUCCUGCCAAACUCUUCUCCUGCACCUUCCCCAGCUAAAAUACACCCAUAAAGAUGCUGAGCUCCUUUACAGGAUCACAGGAGACACCCAGACAAGUAUUCCCCACUACCUACAUAUGCCAUAAGCCAUCUGGUCACUGUAUCUCUCCAGGUCGAGGCGAAUGCUCUGGUGGAAGAACUCCAGCUUGGCUUUCAGCUGCUGGGAUGCUGACACCAUGUUGUUCUUCAUUUUGAUCAGGUUGGCGUUGUACCGAAGGAGGCUGAGCCUAACAGAUGGAACAAGGACAGCACACAUUAGAUGGAAAGCCCACCUGGACUUCAAAGAGAGGAAAUUCUGUUGCUCUCAGGGUGACUGAGCACUGGCAUCAGCUGCCCAGAGAGGUUGUGGAGUCUCCACCCUCAGAAACAUUUGAGAGCUGUCUGAAUGUGGUUCUUUUAGAGCAUGGACUGGGCUGGAGAAAUUCCUGAGGUCCCCAUCUGUCAGAUUAUGCCUUUUCUGACCCAGAGCUGGGCAGCUGAGAGCUGUUUAAACCCCUUUACUCCAUUUUCAGUCUCAUGUGAAGGGUGAGGCAAUACAGAUGUUACAAUUCACACCAUCACAAUCAGAAGCUAUUUCCUAAUUACAUUCCAAGUGUUUCUUGGCCUGUCAGCUUUAGCCACACCAUGCUGUAGACGCCUUAAAGCCAACAUCUAAAACUGCCCCUCCUGGGUCCUACAGUGCAUCUUUCACAGCUCUAUUUCUCCAAAGUAUCCAGUCUUUUUUACAAGGCCAUCCUUUGAAACUUGUUUCUGAUUCCAUUUCUCUCUCCACAAUGUCUGUCCUGUUCCGUGGCAUUUCUGAGUCAGCAUUUCUUAUUUCAAAGUUUGCAUGCAAAUAAAUACUAUGUGAGCCUUC